GAUUAACGCUGGCGGCGUGCAUAACACAUGCAAGUCGAACGAUGAAACUUUAAUGAACCCUUCGGGGAGAAUUAAAGCGGAUUAGUGGCGAACGGGUGAGUAACGCGUGAGUAACCUGCCUUACACAAGGGGAUAGCCUUUGGAAACGAAGAAUAAUACCCUAUAAAACCAUAAAAGCACAUGCAAUUAUGGUCAAAGUGAUAGCGGUGUAAGAUGGACUUGCGUCUGAUUAGCUAGUUGGUGAGAUAAAAGCCCACCAAGGCAACGAUCAGUAGCCGGCUUGAGAGAGUGUACGGCCACAUUGGGACUGAGACACGGCCCAGACUCCUACGGGAGGCAGCAGUGGGGAAUUUUGCACAAUGGGGGAAACCCUGAUGCAGCGACGCCGCGUGAUUAGAAGGCCUUCGGGUUGUAAAAAUCUUUUGUAUAGGAAGAAAAUGACAGUACUAUACGAAUAAGGUCCGGCUAAUUACGUG
rnacentral:rRNA from 1 species